UACGGAGGGUGCAAGCGUUACUCGGAAUCACUGGGCGUAAAGAGCGCGUAGGCGGGAUAGCAAGUCAGAUGUGAAAUCCUAUGGCUUAACCAUAGAACUGCAUUUGAAACUGUUAUUCUAGAGUAUGGGAGAGGUAGGUGGAAUUCUUGGUGUAGGGGUAAAAUCCGUAGAGAUCAAGAGGAAUACUCAUUGCGAAGGCAGCCUGCCGGCCCCACACUGACGCUGAGGCACGAAAGCGUGGGUAUCGAACAGG
rnacentral:rRNA from 1 species